ACAAACGACUCUCGGCAACGGAUAUCUCGGCUCACGCAUCGAUGAAGAACGUAGCAAAAUGCGAUACUUGGUGUGAAUUGCAGAAUCCCGUGAACCAUCGAGUUUUUGAACGCAAGUUGCGCCCGAAGCCUUUUGGUUGAGGG
rnacentral:rRNA from 1 species